CUGCACUCCAGCCUGGGUGACAGAGCAAGACUCUGUCUCAAAGAAAACCGAAAAAAAAAACAAAACACAAAAAAGGCUUCUUCUUUCCCUGAACAUGGCCUGCCAUAGGAAUCUGAACUGAAGUUAAAACAAGAAAGAAUAUCUCUUAGUACAUUAACCAGAUGCCUCUUUUCCAAUUAAGGACUGAAGUGGGCAUUAUAAAUGCAAAUAACUCAAUAUACUUGUCAUAUAGACACGAUAAGGCUUACCUGAUAAGCAUAAAAUCCUUGAACCAUAGACCCAAGAGAAGACAAAAUAAAAUGUUUUGAUGGCCAUAAAGCUGCAUGAGAAGAGGAUUGUGAUGAAAAAACAAAUGUGACAGCUCUGUGUAGAGGAGGCUUAUGCUGAGGAGGACUGUUUCUGAAUGUUGGGUUACAUGACUUGGAAUAUUGAUGUUUCUGCCUCUUAUUUUGCAUUCCUUAUUAAUUCAGAGCAUGUUAAUGCACUUGUACUCCUUACAUUUAUACAGACAAAAAAGAGGAAAAAACAAAAUAAAC
rnacentral:lncRNA from 10 species